rnacentral:rRNA from 1 species
GUUAUAGGGUCAAGCGAAUAAGUGCAUGUGGUGGAUGCCUUGGCGAUUACAGGCGAUGAAAGACGUGAUAGCCUGCGAAAAGCUACGGGGAGCUGGCAAUAAGCUUUGAUCCGUAGAUAUCUGAAUGGGGAGACCCGGCCCUUCGGGGUCACUCGAAGCUGAAUACAUAGGCUUCGUAGAGCGAACUCAGGGAACUGAAACAUCUAAGUACCUGAAGGAAAAGAAAUCAACCGAGAUUCCGUAAGUAGUGGCGAGCGAACACGGAGCAGCCUGUAACUUUUAGCAUCAUUGUUAACCAAACAGUCUGGAAAGUCUGACCAUAGUGGGUGAUAGUCCCGUAGGUAAAAACAGUGGUGUGGAACUAGGGUUACGACAAGUAGGGCGGGGCACGAGAAACCUUGUCUGAAUAUGGGGGGACCAUCCUCCAAGGCUAAAUACUCGUAAUCGACCGAUAGUGAACCAGUACCGUGAGGGAAAGGCGAAAAGAACCCCGGAAGGGGAGUGAAAUAGAUCCUGAAACCGCAUGCAUACAAACAGUGGGAGCCGACUUGUUCGGUGACUGUGUACCUUUUGUAUAAUGGGUCAGCGACUUACGUUCAGUAGCGAGCUUAACCGAAUAGGGGAGGCGCAGCGAAAGCGAGUCUGAUAAGGGCGAUAGUUGCUGGGUGUAGACCCGAAACCAAGUGAUCUAUCCAUGGCCAGGAUGAAGGUGUGGUAACACACACUGGAGGUCCGAACCCACUAACGUUGAAAAGUUAGGGGAUGAGCUGUGGAUAGGGGUGAAAGGCUAAACAAACUUGGAAAUAGCUGGUUCUCUCCGAAAACUAUUUAGGUAGUGCCUCAUGUAUCACUCUCGGGGGUAGAGCACUGUCAUGGCUAGGGGUCUAUUGCUGACUACCAAACCAUUGCAAACUCCGAAUACCGAGAAGUGCGAGCAUGGGAGACAGACAUCGGGUGCUAACGUCCGGUGUCAAGAGGGAAACAACCCAGACCGCCAGCUAAGGUCCCCAAGACAUGGUUAAGUGGAAAACGAAGUGGGAAGGCUAAAACAGUCAGGAUGUUGGCUUAGAAGCAGCCAUCAUUUAAAGAAAGCGUAAUAGCUCACUGAUCGAGUCGUCCUGCGCGGAAGAUGUAACGGGGCUCAAACUAUGCACCGAAAUCGCGGAUAUCGAACACUCUACGGGGUGUUGAUAUGGUAGGAGAGCGUUCUGUAGGCCUGCGAAGGCAGCUGGUGAUGGCUGCUGGAGGUAUCAGAAGUGCGAAUGCUGACAUGAGUAGCGAUAAAGGGAGUGAAAGGCUCCCUCGCCGAAAGCCCAAGGUUUCCUGUUCAACGUUCAUCGGAACAGGGUGAGUCGGCCCCUAAGGCGAGGCAGAAAUGCGUAGUCGAUGGGAAACAGGUUAAUAUUCCUGUACCUCAAUAUAAUGCGAUGUGGGGACGGAGAAGGUUAGGCAAGCCAUCUGUUGGAAUAGGUGGUUCAAGCGUGUAGGGAGAUCUCUUAGGCAAAUCCGGGAGGUCAAUUCUGAGGCGUGAUAACGAGUGCCCUUGUGGCGCGAAGUUGCUGAUACCAAGCUUCCAAGAAAAGCCACUAAGCUUCAGUUGUAUUGAGACCGUACCGCAAACCGACACAGGUGGGCAGGAUGAGAAUUCUAAGGCGCUUGAGAGAACUCGGGUGAAGGAACUCGGCAAAUUUGCACCGUAACUUCGGGAGAAGGUGCGCCCCGGUAGAGUGUAGAGACUUGCUCUCGAAGCUCGAUGGGGUUGCAGUGAAAUGGUGGCUGCGACUGUUUAAUAAAAACACAGCACUCUGCAAACACGAAAGUGGACGUAUAGAGUGUGACGCCUGCCCGGUGCUGGAAGAUUAAAUGAUGGGGUGCAAGCUCUUGAUUGAAGUCCCAGUAAACGGCGGCCGUAACUAUAACGGUCCUAAGGUAGCGAAAUUCCUUGUCGGGUAAGUUCCGACCUGCACGAAUGGCGUAACGAUGGCCACACUGUCUCCACCCGAGACUCAGCGAAGUUGAAAUGUUUGUGAAGAUGCAAUCUACCCGAGGCUAGACGGAAAGACCCCAUGAACCUUUACUGUAGCUUUGCAUUGGAUUUUGAAUAGACCUGUGUAGGAUAGCUGGGAGGCUGUGAAGUAGGGACGCCAGUCCUUAUGGAGCCAACCUUGAAAUACCAGCCUGGUGUGUUUGAGAUUCUAACCUAGACCCCUUAUCGGGGUUGGGGACCGUGCAUGGUAGGCAGUUUGACUGGGGCGGUCUCCUCCCAAAUUGUAACGGAGGAGUACGAAGGUAUCCUAGGUACGGUCGGACAUCGUACUGAUAGUGCAAUGGCAAAAGGAUGCUUAACUGCGAGACUGACAAGUCGAGCAGAUACGAAAGUAGGUCAUAGUGAUCCGGUGGUUCUGUAUGGAAGGGCCAUCGCUCAACGGAUAAAAGGUACUCUGGGGAUAACAGGCUGAUUCCUCCCAAGAGUUCAUAUCGACGGGGGAGUUUGGCACCUCGAUGUCGGCUCAUCACAUCCUGGGGCUGUAGCCGGUCCCAAGGGUAUGGCUGUUCGCCAUUUAAAGUGGUACGUGAGCUGGGUUUAAAACGUCGUGAGACAGUUUGGUCCCUAUCUGCCUUGGGCGUUGGAAAUUUGAAGGGACCUGCUCCUAGUACGAGAGGACCGGAGUGGACAGAUCUCUGGUGUACCGGUUAUCACGCCAGUGGUAUUGCCGGGUAGCUAAAUCUGGAAGAGAUAACCGCUGAAAGCAUCUAAGCGGGAAACUCGCCUUGAGAUAAGAUUUCCCUAGGCUUUAAGCCUUCUAAAGAGUCGUUCGAGACCAGGACGUUGAUAGGUUGGGUGUGGAAGCGCAGUAAUGCGUUAAGCUAACCAAUACUAAUUGCUCGUGAGGCUUGAUCCUAUAACAUUA